CCUACGGGUGGCAGCAGUGAGGAAUAUUGGUCAAUGGACGAGAGUCUGAACCAGCCAAGUAGCGUGAAGGAUGACUGCCCUACGGGUUGUAAACUUCUUUUAUAUGGGAAUAAAAUGAUUCAUGUGUGCCAUUUUGUAUGUACUAUAUGAAUAAGGAUCGGCUAACUCCGUGCCAGCAGCCGCGGUAAUACGGAGGAUCCGAGCGUUAUCCGGAUUUAUUGGGUUUAAAGGGAGCGUAGAUGGGUUGUUAAGUCAGUUGUGAAAGUUUGCGGCUCAACCGUAAAAUUGCAAUUGAAACUGGCAGCCUUGAGUACAGUCGAGGUAGGCGGAAUUCGUGGUGUAGCGGUGAAAUGCUUAGAUAUCACGAAGAACUCCGAUUGCGAAGGCAGCUCACUAAACUGCAACUGACACUGAGGCUCGAAAGUGUGGGUAUCAAACAGGAUUAGAUACCCCGGUAGUC
rnacentral:rRNA from 1 species